GAUGAACGCUGGCGGCGUGCCUAAUACAUGCAAGUCGAGCGAACGGACGAGAAGCUUGCUUCUCUGAUGUUAGCGGCGGACGGGUGAGUAACACGUGGAUAACCUACCUAUAAGACUGGGAUAACUUCGGGAAACCGGAGCUAAUACCGGAUAAUAUUUUGAACCGCAUGGUUCAAAAGUGAAAGACGGUCUUGCUGUCACUUAUAGAUGGAUCCGCGCUGCAUUAGCUAGUUGGUAAGGUAACGGCUUACCAAGGCAACGAUGCAUAGCCGACCUGAGGGGGUGAUCGGCCACACUGGGACUGAGACACGGUCCAGACUCCUACGGGAGGCAGCAGUAGGGAAUCUUCCGCAAUGGGCGAAAGCCUGACGGAGCAACGCCGCGUGAGUGAUGAAGGUCUUCGGAUCGUAAAACUCUGUUAUUAGGGAAGAACAUAUGUGUAAGUAACUGUGCACAUCUUGACGGUACCUAAUCAGAAAGCCACGGCUAACUACGUG
rnacentral:rRNA from 1 species